rnacentral:rRNA from 1 species
GAUGAACGCUAGCGGCAGGCUUAAUACAUGCAAGUCGAGGGGCAGCAGUUUUGUAGCAAUACAGAAGCUGGCGACCGGCAAACGGGUGCGGAACACGUACGCAACCUUCCUUUAACUGGAAGAUAGCACACCGAAAGGUGGAUUAAUACUCCAUCACAUAUGGAAGAGGCAUCUCUUUGAUAUUAAAGCUCCGGCCGUUAAAGAUGGGCGUGCGUCUGAUUAGGUAGUUGGCGGGGUAACGGCCCACCAAGCCUUCGAUCAGUAGCUGAUGUGAGAGCAUGAUCAGCCACACGGGCACUGAGACACGGGCCCGACUCCUACGGGAGGCAGCAGUAAGGAAUAUUGGUCAAUGGACGCAAGUCUGAACCAGCCAUGCCGCGUGGAGGAUGAAGGCCCUCUGGGUUGUAAACUUCUUUUCUUUGGGACGAAACCCCUGUUUCUACGGGGACUGACGGUACCAGAGGAAUAAGCACCGGCUAACUCCGUGCCAGCAGCCGCCGUAACAC